rnacentral:rRNA from 1 species
CCUACGGGGGGCAGCAGUGGGGAAUAUUGGACAAUGGGGGGAACCCUGAUCCAGCCAUGCCGCGUGUGUGAAGAAGGCCCUCGGGUUGUAAAGCACUUUCAGUGAGGAAGAACGCCUGGUGGUUAAUACCCAUCAGGAAAGACAUCACUCACAGAAGAAGCACCGGCUAACUCCGUGCCAGCAGCCGCGGUAAUACGGAGGGUGCGAGCGUUAAUCGGAAUUACUGGGCGUAAAGCGCGCGUAGGUGGCUUGAUAAGCCGGUUGUGAAAGCCCCGGGCUCAACCUGGGAACGGCAUCCGGAACUGUCAAGCUAGAGUGCAGGAGAGGAAGGUAGAAUUUCCGGGGUAGCGGGGAAAUGCGUAGAGAUCGGGAGGAAUACCAGUGGCGAAGGCGGGCUUCUGGACUGACACUGAAACUGAGGUGCGAAAGCGUGGGUAGCAAACAGGAUUAGAUACCCUAGUAGUC